AGUAUUAAUUUCCUUCAAAAAAAUGUUUUUGAAAGGUAGUGUACAGUACCUUAAAAGCACAUUUCUAUCGUUUUUAUUAGAGCACCCAUAAAUCUGUCUCAGCCAUUAGAAUGGCUUUGAGGAAGGAGGGUGAGAUUCUGCAGCAGUGUCGGAUCCGAUGGUGUUUCAGGAGCACAGUCCUUUACAAUCCAUUCAUUCUCCCUACAGUAUGCAACACUCACUUUCCAUCAUCCAAUUCUUGAUGGAUAAAAUAUUAAAGUACAACCCUGCGUUUUGUUUGUGAAUGCUCUGUUCCACUUAAACUGGGUGCACAUGCCAUUUCAUGUUGACUUGCACUCUUCUGGACAUCUUUCAUCAUGAACGUUUUAGAAAGUCUGGAUUUCUCAAACACGUCUGAUUGUAUUACAUCUAUUGCCUACAUGUGCAUUCAUACCUUGUUUAUGCAAAUACACAUUAAACCACAGGUUUUUGAUCUGCAUAUGGUACAAACAAUGAGUAUUAACAUAUUGUGAAUCUUACUUGUGAAUUCAUGUUGUUGUUUUUUUUACUUUUUUCUGCCCUUUUAAUUUUGAACGCGUCAGCUGUGUUUGGUAUACUUGAUGGUUUUUCUUUGUUUCCAUAGCUUUUUUUUUUAAAGAAAGAAAAGAAAAAGUGAGCGCCCUGCCGGUACGGCCACCAUAUGUCUAUUUAUAGACAUGUCCUCUACGUCUUAAGUUAUUUGUCUCCUUCCAGUGACUUGUCCUGGGAUUUCCUGCUUUUUUUCCUUCUCUCCAUUUUUGGCAUUAUUCCUCCUUUCAUUUAUCCAUUUCAUCCAUCGGGCCUGUGUUUGAAAGAUAUGCUUUCGUUCUUUUUUUGAUUUAUUCAAAAUGUACUCUAGAAUUUUAGCGUCAAAUAUUUGCCUUGGGUCUGCAAACAGAAAUGGUGCUUCUCCCUGUAUUAGUCAUUCUACUUGUGGAGAGAGUAAUUUUUUGAUAAUGUUGAUAUGAAAGAGCAGUGCUGUGGUUUAUGCGGCUCAUAGCGUCAUGAUUGUGUGCACAGUUUGCAAUGCAAAUGAGUCUCUGUAGCAGCUUCAUAGUGCGUCCUAACGCCAGAGCUCUUUUAUUUGUGUUUUCCUCUCUGUGUAAAAUGCCAAACUCCUCGAGUCAUUGGGUUCUUCUUGCUUAAUCAGUGCUUUUGUAGUCCACACUGCUUUUAGCCUUAAAGAAAAAGAGGAAACGUGGGAGUUUCCUGCUGUAUAUUUGAUUUUUGGAUUCUAUUAAACUGUUGGUACUCUGUUUUAAUUUCAUUAUUGUGUGUGUGUGUGUGUGUGUGUGUGUGUGUGUGUGUGAAGAAUGACCGUGUCCUCUUGAUGAGUCCAGGCAGCUGACGCUCGGAAGCGCCCUGUGGAAAUGUCAGCUGUAAUUAGCGCUUGUUAAGCAAAUGGCAGGGGUAAUGACCUCGUCGUCUCCCUGCCCACAGACUGUUUGACUGUUGACUGACUGCGACCGAACCGGCAUUAAACAUUUAUUAUUCAAUUUGACCGCUACGUCCAAGGUGUUGAUGAGCACUCCUGGAUGCUGCGAAUUUCGGGGGGGAUUAUGGGACGCCAUAAUGGCUAAUUGUGCAGUUCGGUGCUUAUUUUUAGCUGUCCUGUCAAAGAUUAGGACACAUACGAGGGAAAGAAACCGAAGGACAAAAGAGCUCCCAUCCAUCAGGAGGCAGGAAUGGUUCUCCCAUGCAGAAGGACUCGGUCUGCGGCUGAAAUAUUGAUCACAGCGGCUCAUGGAAGAGCUGCCACCCAAAGCCCGUGACAGCGCUCGGGUCACUGUGACAAAGACAGAGAUCUCAUAUCUCCAGAAGUCUCUGAGGCUGUGCCGUUUGGAGGGUGUUAUGUAAUGCACAACUCACGCAACAAACAUCAGCCGCACAUUAGGCUUGAAUAAAUAUCACAAACGCAGCUUCAUAUUCAUGAGCUCAGUGACAUGUCAGGACAUGCGAGAGAUGGAUUGAGAUAUUUCACGCCUAUACCUCCUACACGAUUCUCAGAGUUUAUAAUCAGCAUAUGUUGUGCACACCUUCAAAGAUGUGAUAGUUUGCACAUAAUAACU